CCCUGAAACUACUUUUCAAAAGUAGGCAAGUAUGCUGCAACUCCCAUCCUGUUAUUGUGAGGCAGCCAGCUUGCAGAGAUGCAGGCUCCAGGCUAUGCUUGUGAAAUUGGAUUAGGCUCAUUAGGAGCAGUGAUUUGAACCCUUUCCUGCAUAACCCUGGACAUUAUCAUGCUACUAAAUGCAGCAUCAUGGGGAGCCGGCCGGCUGGAGAUCAGAUCAUUCACAGCUUGACAUAGAACAUGACUGGUCCCCCAGGAAGAUCCUGUGUGCUGGAGAUUAUCCGUGUAACCCCGUUACUGCAGCUGCUGACUCACACUCAGCGUCUCCGUUACCCCAUCACUGAGUAUCUGGUCAGAGCUUCCUGCGCCCCUCGCUGACCCCGGCACAUCCUGAGUGGACCAGCCUGGGAUGUAGUCAGUUGUGUAACAGGAGGAAGGAGGGGCCCAUCCCUGGAGCAUGGAGGGUGGUACCAGGAGUGAUCUGCCUCAUUGUAUUCCUCAAGCAAUGGGUCAGCACCUUCAGUCCUCUGGAACUUAUUCUGCGCUUGGAAUUUCAUCUUCUGCUUGAACGCAGAACAGGAUAUUUUUGUUCUACGCAGGUGAAACUUGCUGGAGUUCAACGCUGGAUACCCCAGGUUCCGUUGUACAUUACACCUCUUGUGAUGCAGGGUGGUAGCUCACCCUCUGAUCAGCAUAUCGCUGUAGUGCCCAGGGUCUGGAAGGUUUCGGGUCGCAAGCUGUAAGGAGCCCCCUCCCGGUAUUCCCUGACCCUGUCUGGAAUGCACUGAGGAUGUUGGGGUGCAGGCUGACUAACAUGAAUGGAUCUGUGGAGGACACCCAGAUGGAGACGGGUGACAUUAAUCGGGUAAUGAGGAGCUUGGAAACUGGGACGGACCUCACCCUCUUUUACCAGAAGAAGUCCCAGCGGCCGGAGAGGAGAACCUCCCAGGUGAAGCUGCACACCAGGCAAGUCAUGAUUCAGAACCCCGGAGAAAGUUCACACUCAUCACAAGAGGAAGGACCACAAGCCUGUCCCUCUAAAGGUCCCUGAGAGCUUCCCGAAAGAUCCGGGCCUGAGCAAGAUCCCGCGGGAGACCCUGGAGCUGUUUGCCGUGCUGUGCAUAGAGACCAGUCACUAUGUUUCCUUUGUGAAGUACGGCGCAGGGACAGACAGCUGGAUAUUCUUUGACAGCAUGGCCGACCGAUUUGGUAGUGAGAACGGGUACAACAUACCCCGGGUCAGCUGUUGCCCAGAGGUGGCCACUUACCUGUCUUCUCUGCUGGAAGAACUCGUCAGCCAGAACCCGCGUGAGAUGAAAGGCGUGGCUAAGCGGCUCUUCUGUGACGUCUACAUGUACAUGUAUCAGAGCAAGAGGAUGGCCCUCUACAAGUGAGAGAUAGAAACGCUGAGUAUCGCAUUUAGCAGGAUACCUGGCCGCCUUUUCCCAUGGUCCUGUGACCUGUAUGCCGGACAUAUAUCUGGGAUAAACUGGCAGCAUCGGACUCCAUGUGGAAUUAUACCAGAAGGAGGUCACCCCUCCAUUACUCAGAGGGGGGGUAAAUUUACUAAGAUGGGAGUUCUAUUCAAGAUGGGAUGUUGCCUAUAG